ensembl:lncRNA novel transcript
AAAAGGAAGAUCUCUCUUUUCUACAGCAAGCAGUAGUUUCUCACAGCAUCCAGCAUAGGUUACUCAAGACAAAAAGAGGAGUUUGGAUGAAAUGGCAUAGGGCUGACUACUGGACUAAGAAUUCUGGAUUUUAUUCUGCAAGCUGGUGGAGACACAUCAAAGGGUAUUGAACAGGAGGCUGACAGGAUUACAUCUCUGUGUUACAGACAUUAGGUCUUUGCAUAAAAGUAUAUGCUCCCUUAUAUUAUACACUUACAGAGGGCUGGCUUUGUUUAACUUGUCCUACAUAACUUUCAGUACUGAAAGUGAGCAUUAUACCAUUGAUGAGGUUGCUAUUAAACCUAUGUAAAACAUC